CCUACGGGGGGCUGCAGUGGGGAAUAUUGGACAAUGGGGGGAACCCUGAUCCAGCCAUGCCGCGUGUGUGAAGAAGGCCCUCGGGUUGUAAAGCACUUUCAGUGAGGAAGAACGCCUGGUGGUUAAUACCCAUCAGGAAAGACAUCACUCACAGAAGAAGCACCGGCUAACUCCGUGCCAGCAGCCGCGGUAAUACGGAGGGUGCGAGCGUUAAUCGGAAUUACUGGGCGUAAAGCGCGCGUAGGUGGCUUGAUAAGCCGGUUGUGAAAGCCCCGGGCUCAACCUGGGAACGGCAUCCGGAACUGUCAAGCUAGAGUGCAGGAGAGGAAGGUAGAAUUCCCGGUUUAGCGGUGAAAUGCGUAGAGAUCGGGAGGAAUACCAGUGGCGAAGGCGGCCUUCUGGACUGACACUGACACUGAGGUGCGAAAGCGUGGGUAGCAAACAGGAUUAGAUACCCGAGUAGUC
rnacentral:rRNA from 1 species